rnacentral:rRNA from 1 species
GAGUUUGAUCGUGGCUCAGAUUGAACGCUGGCGGCAUGCCUUACACAUGCAAGUCGAACGGCAGCACGGGAGCUUGCUCCUGGUGGCGAGUGGCGAACGGGUGAGUAAUGCAUCGGAACGUAUCCUGGAGUGGGGGAUAACGUAGCGAAAGUUACGUUAAUACCGCAUAUUCUGUGAGCAGGAAAGCGGGGGACCUUCGGGCCUCGCGCUCUUGGAGCGGCCGAUGUCGGAUUAGCUAGUUGGUGAGGUAAAGGCUCACCAAGGCGACGAUCCGUAGCAGGUCUGAGAGGAUGAUCUGCCACACUGGAACUGAGACACGGUCCAGACUCCUACGGGAGGCAGCAGUGGGGAAUUUUGGACAAUGGGGGCAACCCUGAUCCAGCCAUGCCGCGUGAGUGAAGAAGGCC